CCUACGGGUGGCAGCAGUGGGGAAUAUUGCACAAUGGGGGAAACCCUGAUGCAGCGACGCCGCGUGAGUGAAGAAGUAAUUCGUUAUGUAAAGCUCUAUCAGCAGGGAAGAAAAUGACGGUACCUGAGUAAGAAGCCCCGGCUAACUACGUGCCAGCAGCCGCGGUAAUACGUAGGGGGCAAGCGUUAUCCGGAUUUACUGGGUGUAAAGGGAGCGUAGACGGCAGUGCAAGUCUGGAGUGAAAGGCGGGGGCUCAACCCCCGGACUGCUCUGGAAACUGUACGGCUGGAGUGCAGGAGAGGUAAGUGGAAUUCCUAGUGUAGCGGUGAAAUGCGUAGAUAUUAGGAGGAACACCAGUGGCGAAGGCGGCAUACCGGUGCACAACUGACGCUCAGGCACGAAAGCGUGGGUAUCGAACAGGAUUAGAUACCCUGGUAGUC
rnacentral:rRNA from 1 species